rnacentral:rRNA from 1 species
UACGUAGGGGGCAAGCGUUGUCCGGAUUUAUUGGGCGUAAAGAGCGUGUAGGCGGUUCGGUAGGUCCGUUGUGAAAACUCGAGGCUCAACCUCGAGACGCCGAUGGAAACCCUCGAACUAGAGUCCGGAAGAGGAGAAUGGAAUUCCUGGUGUAGCGGUGAAAUGCGCAGAUAUCAGGAGGAACACCGGUGGCGAAGGCGGUUCUCUGGGCCUGUUCUGACGCUGAGGAGCGAAAGCGUGGGGAGCGAACAGG